rnacentral:misc_RNA from 1 species
GAAAUGCGAUAAGUAGUGUGAAUUGCAGAAUUCAGUGAAUCAUCGAAUCUUUGAACGCACAUUGCGCCCUUUGGUAUUCCUUAGGGCAUGCCUGUUCGAGCGUCAUCUAAACCUUCAAGCCCUGCUUGGUGUUGGGUGCCUGUCCCGCCUCCGCGCGCGGACUCACCUCAAAUCCAUUGGCGGCCCCCGCGUCGGCCACGAGCGCAGCAGAAACGCGAACUCGUGAGCCCGUCCGGGCGGCUCCCAGAAGCUACACCCACCCAGUUUGACCUCGGAUCAGGUAGGGAUACCCGCUGAACUUAAUC